CUAAUUUUAUGGCAGGUCAAAAAAACUGCCAUUAUGUUUGUUAAUUACGGUAGCACCAACUCAUGCCAUAAUGUUAAUAGUUUUUGUGGCAGCUUUGUUGAUUGUGGCGUUUCAAACUGCCAUAGAAUUUUUUUUCCUUCUUUAACUCGAGCGAUGUUGCAUGUGAGAGUGUAAUUAGUAUUGUUGCAUAUGAGAAAAUGAGGAUGAGUGUCAAUGACGGACCCUAAUUUCUUGCCAUUAUUCAUCUUCCUGAUUUGUCAUUCAACUCCUCGCUAUCGCUCAUUCCUUUGUUGCAGCUCAUCUCCUCGCUGCUGCAAGCAACGCCGUUGUUGCUGCCUUCAAUGAGCUUCUACGAUUUGGCUUUGAUCUGAAGAUUCGUCAGCGUUCGUCUCAUCACCAUCGUUCAUCUCCUCGCCAUUGCAAGAAACACCGUUGUCGCCUUCAGCGAGCUUCAACGAUUUGGCUUCGAUAUGAAGAUUUGUGGCCGCUCAUCUCAUCGCCAUCAUUUAUCUCUGCACCAUCACAAGCAACACCGUUGUCGCUGCCUUCUAUGAUCUGAUUUUCAAUCUGGCUCACCUCCUCACCUCGGCAAGCAACGCUGUUGUUGCUGCCUUCAACAAGCUUCUACAAUUUGGUUUCACUAUCUCUGUCACUUCUAAUAGUACAACACAACACUUUACUUUCUCUUCAAACAAGUCACGGCAUUGUGGAGGAACUGAUUGGGUUUGGAGCAAGAGUGCACGCGUGUGCAAGGAACGAAGCUGAGCUCACUAAGUCUCUCAUCUAAUGAAAUGAUUCUGGUUUUGAGGUUACUGACUCUGUUUGCAAUGUCUUUGUUCCUCAUCAGAGGGAGAAGCUGAUGGACUCUGUGUGUUCUGAAUUUCAAGGGAAACUCAACAUCCUUAUUUGAAUUUGUUAGGAAAUCCAAAUGAAGAGGGGGGAUAUAUAUACUUAAAAGAUGAAAAGACUUAAAUGGUUAUCUUCAUCUGUUUGCUCUGGCAAUGGCGCAGAGAGAAUUUUGGGCAACCCAAACCAAAGUUUGAAGUGAAAAAGACAAGAAACUGAGGACUCUGAGUGCCACAGUGAAGAUAUUGAGGAAGAAUCAGUGGGUGUUAAAAAGGCAUGUCCAACACGAGAUGUUAAGAGAAGUCGUUCAGCCGAAGUACAUAAUCUAUCUGAAAGGGUGAGUGAAGACCGUAUGCCAAUUGUGUACUGUUGCAAAUAAAUAGCAAAUUUUCCAUCUGUAGCAUAUGUUUUGUUGCUUGUGAUCUGUAUGAUUAUCAUUGUGAUCUUCUACUUAUACAGAAGCGAAGAGACAGGAUCAAUGAGAAGAUGCGUGCAUUGCAAGAUCUCAUACCAAACUGCAAUAAGGUUCACUUGUUUAUACUUUCAAACCUUGAGCCAUAUUUGCUUCUCCUUGAGCCGAAAAUGCAACCAGAGAAACAGAGAAAUGAAACAAAGAGGCAGGAAGCAUGGCAAGUAUAUGGGGCCUUGUUGUGUGCUGUUGGGCAAUGUAUGCAUGAAAAGGCCAAAAUCUUCAGCAAUUUGCUCUCUCCAACACGUGCUUUUUCUAGACCCAAAGCCAUGAUUGCUAUGUCAAGGCUGAUAGUGGAAAAUAUUUUCUUCUUGAUAGAAGAUAAUGAACAAAUGUAUUGUAGAUGAGUUUGGAUAAUGAAAAUGGAGUGUUGGAGCAAGAAACAAAGAUGUUGGAGCAAGUUUCCGGGAUGAAAUUCACACAAGAGACCAAGAAAAUAAGGCAGGCUUGUUUUAAAGUUAAUUACAAAAGGAGGAAACUUUUGGCCUCCAAAUCUUAUUCAUCAUCACUUAGCUAAGCUACUUGUCUUGUAUAUUCAUAUUCUAAGUAGUAAAAACAGCACUUAUUAGAUGGUUUAAAUACAUUAUUAGAUAUUAACAUAGUUUAGGGAACUCGAUGGUAGAUUUGACUGAAUAGUGUUUAUUGUAAUGCUUGUAUUUUGAUAAGUUUAGUAAGACAAGAUUUUGUAUAGGAGUUAUUACUUUUGAUUUUCAAUAAUAAAAAAUUAUACAUUAUAUUAA